rnacentral:rRNA from 1 species
GAUGGUGGAUACCUAGGCACACAGAGGCGA